rnacentral:tRNA from 1 species
GCCGAUGUGGUGAAAUUGGUAGACACGCACGCUUGAGGGGCGUGUAGCGAAAGCUGUGCCGGUUCGACUCCGGCCAUCGGCACCA